AUUGAACGCUGGCGGCAGGCCUAACACGUGCAAGUCGAGCGGUAGGGAGGAGCUUGCUUCUCUUGAGAGCGGCGGACGGGUGAGUAAUGCCUAGGAAUCUGCCUGGUAGUGGGGGAUAACGUUCGGAAACGGACGCUAAUACCGCAUACGUCCUACGGGAGAAAGUGGGGGAUCUUCGGACCUCACGCUAUCAGAUGAGCCUAGGUCGGAUUAGCUAGUUGGUGAGGUAAAGGCUCACCAAGGCGACGAUCCGUAACUGGUCUGAGAGGAUGAUCAGUCACACUGGAACUGGGACACGGUCCAGACUCUUACGGGAGGCAGCAGUGGGGAAUAUUGGACAAUGGGCGCAAGCCUGAUCCAGCCAUGCCGCGUGUGUGAAGAAGGUCUUCGGAUUGUAAAGCACUUUAAGUUGGGAGGAAGGUCAGUAGCUUAAUACGUUGCUGAUUUGACGUUACCGACAGAAUAAGCACCGGCUAACUCUGUGCCAGCCGCCGCGGUAAAAC
rnacentral:rRNA from 1 species